CAUUGGGGAUGAAAUCUCCCCAAGUAGUAAUAACACUACCAGCAGUCGAGAAUAUUAGUCAAUGCUCGUAAGAGUGAACUAGCUAACUGAAAUCAUAGAAUUUUUUCAAAUUCAUGAUGUCGUAAGGGAAAAUAAUGAUAAUACCUUACUAUGAGUGUCGUCCAAAUCUGGUGCCAGAAGACUCGGUAAGACCAGAGACGCAAACGUUAAUCAUCAUAAACAGGCGUAAAGGGUUUGUAGGCAGCUUUUAUAAAAUAUUUCAAAAACUAAAUUAAAAGCUAGAAUCAAAAAGAGGUUAUAGUGUAUAACGCCUAGAGGAGGGCUGAUAUCCAUAGAUCCUAGGCAGAAUACUCAGGGCGAAGGCCACUCUCCACUAAUGAUUGACGCUGAGAAACGAAGGUUAGGGUAGGAAAUAGGAUUAGAUACCCCGGUACUCCUUUCUGUAAACGAUGAAUGGUAGUCAUUAGUUAAAUUAAAAUAACUAGAGGCGAAGUUAACACAAUAACCAUUCCGCCUUGUGAGUACUACUGCAAAGUAGAAAACAAAAAAAUUAGUCGGUCUCGAAGCAAACGGAGUGAAGCAUGUUAUUUAAUACGAUAAUCCGCGUAAAACCUUUCCAGAACUUGCAUACAAACUAUAAAUUUUCUUUCCUGAAAAGGUAGAGGAAAUA
rnacentral:rRNA from 1 species